GCAAGCUUAACCGAUUAGGGCAGGCGUAGCGAAAGCGAGUCCGAACAGGGCGUUGAGUCGCUGGGUGUAGACCCGAAACCAGAUGAUCUAUCCAUGGCCAGGUUGAAGGUGCGGUAACACGUACUGGAGGACCGAACCCACUAACGUUGAAAAGUUAGGGGAUGAGCUGUGGAUAGGGGUGAAAGGCUAAACAAAUCUGGAAAUAGCUGGUUCUCUCCGAAAACUAUUUAGGUAGUGCCUCGUGUCUCACCUUCGGGGGUAGAGCACUGUCAUGGUUGGGGGGUCUAUUGCUGAUUACCCCGCCAUAGCAAACUCCGAAUACCGAAGAGUGCAAUCACGGGAGACAGACAUCGGGUGCUAACGUCCGGUGUCAAGAGGGAAACAACCCAGACCGCCAGCUAAGGUCCCCAAAUAUAGCUAAGUGGGAAACGAAGUGGGAAGGCUAAAACAGUCAGGAGGUUGGCUUAGAAGCAGCCACCCUUUAAAGAAAGCGUAAUAGCUCACUGAUCGAGUCGUCCUGCGCGGAAGAUGUAACGGGGCUAAGCUAUAUACCGAAGCUGCGGACGCNCAAGCUUAACCGAUUAGGGCAGGCGUAGCGAAAGCGAGUCCGAACAGGGCGUUGAGUCGCUGGGUGUAGACCCGAAACCAGAUGAUCUAUCCAUGGCCAGGUUGAAGGUGCGGUAACACGUACUGGAGGACCGAACCCACUAACGUUGAAAAGUUAGGGGAUGAGCUGUGGAUAGGGGUGAAAGGCUAAACAAAUCUGGAAAUAGCUGGUUCUCUCCGAAAACUAUUUAGGUAGUGCCUCGUGUCUCACCUUCGGGGGUAGAGCACUGUCAUGGUUGGGGGGUCUAUUGCUGAUUACCCCGCCAUAGCAAACUCCGAAUACCGAAGAGUGCAAUCACGGGAGACAGACAUCGGGUGCUAACGUCCGGUGUCAAGAGGGAAACAACCCAGACCGCCAGCUAAGGUCCCCAAAUAUAGCUAAGUGGGAAACGAAGUGGGAAGGCUAAAACAGUCAGGAGGUUGGCUUAGAAGCAGCCACCCUUUAAAGAAAGCGUAAUAGCUCACUGAUCGAGUCGUCCUGCGCGGAAGAUGUAACGGGGCUAAGCUAUAUACCGAAGCUGCGGACGCACGCAAGUGCGUGGUAGGAGAGCGUUCUGUAAGCCUGUGAAGGUGUCUUGUAAAGGAUGCUGGAGGUAUCAGAAGUGCGAAUGCUGACAUGAGUAGCGAUAAAGGGGGUGAAAGGCCCCCUCGCCGUAAGCCCAAGGUUUCCUACGCAACGUUCAUCGGCGUAGGGUGAGUCGGCCCCUAAGGCGAGGCAGAGAUGCGUAGCUGAUGGGAAGCAGGUUAAUAUUCCUGCACCGUCGUAUGAUGCGAUGGGGGGACGGAUCGCGGAAGGUUGUCCGGGUGUUGGAAGUCCCGGUCCCUGCAUUGGAGAAGGCGCUCAGGCAAAUCCGGGCGCGGGAUUCAAGGAUGCGGGGCGAGCGGCCUAGUGCUGCGAAGCAAUUGGAAGUGGUUCCAAGAAAAGCCUCUAAGCUUCAGUCAUACGAGACCGUACCGCAAACCGACACAGGUGGGCGAGAUGAGUAUUCUAAGGCGCUUGAGAGAACUCGGGAGAAGGAACUCGGCAAAUUGGUACCGUAACUUCGGGAUAAGGUACGCCCUGGUAGCUUGACUGGCCUGCGCCAGAAGGGUGAAGGGGUUGCAAUAAAAUGGUGGCUGCGACUGUUUAAUAAAAACACAGCACUCUGCAAACACGAAAGUGGACGUAUAGGGUGUGACGCCUGCCCGGUGCCGGAAGAUUAAAUGAUGGGGUGCAAGCUCUUGAUUGAAGUCCCGGUAAACGGCGGCCGUAACUAUAACGGUCCUAAGGUAGCGAAAUUCCUUGUCGGGUAAGUUCCGACCUGCACGAAUGGCGUAACGAUGGCCACACUGUCUCCUCCCGAGACUCAGCGAAGUUGAAGUGUUUGUGAUGAUGCAAUCUCCCCGCGGCUAGACGGAAAGACCCCAUGAACCUUUACUGUAGCUUUGCAUUGGACUUUGAACCGAUCUGUGUAGGAUAGGUGGGAGGCUUUGAAGCGUGGACGCCAGUUCACGUGGAGCCGUCCUUGAAAUACCACCCUGGUUUGUUUGAGGUUCUAACCUUGGCCCGUGAAUCCGGGUCGGGGACAGUGCAUGGUAGGCAGUUUGACUGGGGCGGUCUCCUCCCAAAGUGUAACGGAGGAGUUCGAAGGUACGCUUGGUACGGUCGGACAUCGUACCUAAAGUGCAAUGGCAAAAGCGUGCUUAACUGCGAGACCGACAAGUCGAGCAGGUGCGAAAGCAGGACAUAGUGAUCCGGUGGUUCUGAAUGGAAGGGCCAUCGCUCAACGGAUAAAAGGUACUCUGGGGAUAACAGGCUGAUACCGCCCAAGAGUUCAUAUCGACGGCGGUGUUUGGCACCUCGAUGUCGGCUCAUCUCAUCCUGGGGCUGUAGCCGGUCCCAAGGGUAUGGCUGUUCGCCAUUUAAAGAGGUACGUGAGCUGGGUUUAAAACGUCGUGAGACAGUUUGGUCCCUAUCUGCCGUGGGCGUUGGAAUCUUGACGGGGGCUGCUCCUAGUACGAGAGGACCGGAGUGGACGUACCGCUGGUGUACCUGUUGUCUCGCCAGAGGCAUCGCAGGGUAGCUAUGUACGGAAGAGAUAACCGCUGAAAGCAUCUAAGCGGGAAACUCGCCUGAAGAUGAGGAUUCCCUGGAGGCUUGACCUCCUUGAAGGGUCGUUCGAGACCAGGACGUUGAUAGGCUGGGUGUGGAAGCGCAGUAAUGCGUUAAGCUAACCAGUACUAAUUGCCCGUAAGGCUUGAUCCU
rnacentral:rRNA from 1 species